GAUGAACGCUAGCUACAGGCUUAACACAUGCAAGUCGCGGGGCAGCAUGGGGGUUGCUUGCACUCCCCGAUGGCGACCGGCGCACGGGUGAGUAACGCGUAUCCAACCUGCCCUUCACCACGGGAUAACCCGGCGAAAGUCGGACUAAUACCGUAUGUUGUCCAUUGACGGCAUCCGAUUUGGACGAAAGGUUUGGCGGUGAAGGAUGGGGAUGCGUCCGAUUAGCUGGACGGCGGGGUGACGGCCCACCGUGGCGACGAUCGGUAGGGGUUCUGAGAGGAAGGUCCCCCACACUGGAACUGAGACACGGUCCAGACUCCUACGGGAGGCAGCAGUGAGGAAUAUUGGGCAAUGGGCGUAAGCCUGAACCAGCCAAGUAGCGUGCAGGAGGACGGCCCUAUGGGUUGUAAACUGCUUUUAUGCGGGGAUAAAGUGGCCCACGUGUGGGUUUUUGCAGGUACCGCAUGAAUAAGGACCGGCUAAUUCCGUG
rnacentral:rRNA from 1 species